rnacentral:rRNA from 1 species
GACGAACGCUGGCGGCGUGCUUAACACAUGCAAGUCGAGCGGUAAGGCCCUUUCGGGGGUACACGAGCGGCGAACGGGUGAGUAACACGUGAGCAACCUGCCCUUCUCUUUGGAAUAAGCGUUGGAAACGACGUCUAAUGCCGAAUAUGACCUCCCACUGCAUGGUGGGGGGUGGAAAGCUCUGGCGGAGAAGGAUGGGCUCGCGGCCUAUCAGCUUGUUGGGGUGGGUAAUGGCCCACCAAGGCGACGACGGGUAGCCGGCCUGAGAGGGUGACCGGCCACACUGGGACUGAGACACGGCCCAGACCCCUACGGGAGGCAGCAGUGGGGAAUAUUGGACAAUGGGCGAAAGCCUGAUCCAGCAACGCCGCGUGAGGGAUGACGGCCUUCGGGUUGUAAACCUCUUUCAGCAGGGACGAAGCGAGAGUGACGGUACCUGCAGAAGAAGGACCGGCCAACUACGUGCCAGCAGCCGCGGUAACAC